rnacentral:tRNA from 1 species
GCCUGGCCAGCUCAGUUGGUGGAGCAUCCAACUUCGGCUCAGGUCAUGAUCUUGCAGUUGAGUUCGUGGGUUCAAGUCCCAUGUCAGGCU